UGAGGAAGUUUCCUUGCAAAGGCUCCAUCUGAGCUCCAGACAGCUGAACCAUGAAGGCCGCUCUGUUUGUUACUGUCAUUCUGAUGAUGAAUCUUAUUGCAGCAGUAACCUGCACGGAGAAAUCCAGCCCAGAACCUAAAGCAACUACUACGUCUCCUCCGCCAGGCAACCAGGCCAUGUUGUUCUUCCCUGCGCCAGCUUGUUUUCUACUGUCAUUCAUGCUGGCCUUGGGUCAUCUUCUGAAAGUAUUCUGAGCCUCAGAUGGUAAUCCUAGGAGGAUCGUCCCCGUCUUAUCCACUUUGGAAGAGACCUCCUCACCACUGCUGACAACCUGACAAGCCAGCUCUGCUCUAAUUGUUAUCCUUCCAUAAUGUUGUACCAUAUGCUCAUCUCUGUGACCUGAAGCUCCGUGGCUCACUCUUCUCCACAGUGGCCACUUACCUGCAAAAUAAACACCAGAAAGAUUGCCUGACCUAGAUCCAAGUACCAUGGGUUCAUACAAAGAAAGCCAGAAUGAUGGGUGGAUUCUGUGUCCCCACCACCACCGAAGGAGGCCUGCUUAGAAACAAUCAACACACCAAAGACUUAAUAUGUUUUGAUGCCCAAGGCAGAAAAUCCAAACAAUUUAGGCCACAACCUGGCAGAAGGUGCUCUUGUUCAUUGCAAUGGGCGUGUGCGGAAGAACAUCCCAGAGAAUCAUGUCCAUGAUAAAUCAAGAUCUGCCAUCUUUAAUAGUACCCCAGAUCAGCCACCUGAAGCGACCUGUGUUCUGUGUCUCCUAAGAAGGUCUGCUGCAUAUUCUUGUCUGGCUCCAGAAGCAUUUGGGGAAAUGACCACCGGUCAAGUUUGGACAUCCCGUCCUUGAGUUGCGCAGUCUGGGAAGAUGAACUUUCUGGUGAACUGGCAAACCUCACCUCACUGGAUUGCGGAAUGUAGUUCAAGACUCGAUGGAAACAUUGCAAGCUAAAAAUGAUACCUCUACAAAUUCUGCUGCCUUCAUAAUCCCCCCUCUCCCCGCCCAGGCCAGGGUGCUGUCUGCUUAGUUAAAUCAAUGAAGUAAAGCCUUCAUAGCUGGCAUAAUCUGUC